rnacentral:rRNA from 1 species
ACAAUGUGCCAGAUCGCAUCGGAUCUCAUCAGACCUCGGAAGCUAAGCAGGCUGGAACCUGGAUAGUGCUUGGAUGGGUGACCACCGUGCAUUACACAGGUUGUU